rnacentral:rRNA from 1 species
UAGGGAAUCUUCCGCAAUGGACGAAAGUCUGACGGAGCAACGCCGCGUGAGUGAUGAAGGUUUUCGGAUCGUAAAACUCUGUUGUUAGGGAAGAACAAGUACCGGAGUAACUGCCGGCACCUUGACGGUACCUAACCAGAAAGCCACGGCUAACUACGUGCCAGCAGCCGCGGUAAUACGUAGGUGGCAAGCGUUGUCCGGAAUUAUUGGGCGUAAAGCGCGCGCAGGUGGUUCCUUAAGUCUGAUGUGAAAGCCCACGGCUCAACCGUGGAGGGUCAUUGGAAACUGGGGAACUUGAGUGCAGAAGAGGAAAGUGGAAUUCCAAGUGUAGCGGUGAAAUGCGUAGAGAUUUGGAGGAACACCAGUGGCGAAGGCGACGUUCUGGUCUGUAACUGACACUGAGGCGCGAAAGCGUGGGGAGCGAACAGG